ACGGGGGGUGCAAGCGUUACUCGGAAUCAUUGGGCGUAAAGGGCGCGUAGGCGGCCUGAUCAGUCAGAUGUGAAAGCCCGGGGCUCAACCCCGGAAGAGCAUUUGAUACUGUCAGGCUUGAGUAUGGGAGAGGAAAGUGGAAUUCCUGGUGUAGAGGUGAAAUUCGUAGAUAUCAGGAGGAACACCGGUGGCGAAGGCGACUUUCUGGACCAAUACUGACGCUGAGGCGCGAAGGCGUGGGGAGCAAACAG
rnacentral:rRNA from 1 species